GGAGUCGUGGCUCAGUGGUAGAGCGUUUGCCUGGCAUGUGUGAGGCCCUGGGUUCGAUCCUCAGCAACUCAU
rfam:Ictidomys tridecemlineatus contig000968, whole genome shotgun sequence.